UAAUUAGAUAUUUAUUAAGUUAACAUAUUAUAUAUAUAUAUAUAUAUAUAUAUAUAUAUAUAUAUAUAUAUAAAAAGUAAAACAAAAGAAAUGAAAAGGAUAGAAAAGAAACAGAAUGAAACGAGACAGAGAGCAAGGGAGAAAAAGAAAGAAAGGAAGAAAAAGGAAAAUUAGGGGUUUGAUGCUUGAAGCUUAAAUAGCUAACGGGGUGCCGAAACAUCCUCAGUUAAGAAAGGAAAAGAUGAAGUCAACGAGGAUUAGCUCUGAAAUCACGGUUUGUAUUUAUAUAAUCCGAACCUAGUUAUUAAUUAUUAUAUUUUAUUCAAUGCCUUUAGUGAAUGUUGAAGUGAGAA